ACUGAAGCUCGCGAGAGGAUCCUGGGGGCAGGCGCGUCGCGGUGGCAGUGUUUCUUGGGUGUGCGGGGCCGGGCGCCCCGUAGCCUCUGCAUUCAAAAUCCAUGGCUAAUUUUGCCAGUAAGAGGCCAUGCUGAGUAAUUGACCUGGAAACAAAAUUAAAAGUGAUUAAGGACUGUGAAGGUGGAAAAUCAGGGAUGGUUAUUGCUCACCAGUCAGGCAUGUCCCGUUUUACCAUAGCUGCCAUCCUAAAGAACAAGAGCAAAGUGAUAGAAGCUGUUAAAGGAUCUGCUUCAUUGAAGGCAAUGAGACUAACAAAAAUUUGAGAAGGGCCAAUAUCAGAUAUGGAUAAUAUCUGAUAUUGACCUAGAUUGAAGACCAGACACACAAGCAUGUCCCUCAGCACCAUGACAAUCACAGCUAAAGCAAAAAGCUUGUUUGUUACGUAGAUAGAAAAGGCUGGACCUGACUAUAUUGUUGAAUUUAUUGCUAGCUCUGGGUGGUUUAAAUGAUUCGAGAAUUGUUACUCAUUACACAAUUGUGAAAGUGAGUGCUAAGUCUACAAGUGCUGAUGUGAAGGCAGCUGAAUAAUUUUUGGAAACUCUAGAUAAGCUGAUUGUGGGGGAAAAUUACUUGCCAGAGCAAAUCUUUAAUAUGGAUCAAGGCUCCCUAUUCUGGAAAAAGAUGCCGGAAGGGACUGUCAUCCAUAAAGAGGCCAAGUCAGUGGCAGGUUUCACGGCUUUGAAGGACUGGCUAACAAUGUUUGGGGGCGAUGUUGCUGGCCACAAAUUAAAACCCUUUGUGAUUUGACACAGUGAGAACCCCAGGGCCUUCAAGCAUAUCAGUAAGCACACACUGCCGGUGUACUACAUGAGCAAUAACAAGUCAUGGAUGACCCAGCUUCUCUUCCAAUAUGCCCUCCUGAAUUGCUAUGCCAGUGAAAUGGAGAAGUACUGUUUGGAGAAUAACAUACCUUUCAAGAUUUUGCUUGUUGUUGAUAAUGCUCCUGUACAUCCUUUUAUUGGUGAUCUUUGUUUUAAUAUCAAACUGGUGUUUCUCCCUCUAAACAUCAACUCUUUGAUCCAACCAGUGGAUCAAGGAGUUAGAGCAGUUUUUAAGGCUCACUACCUAAAGCGGACGUUGCCCCAGGCUAUUGCUGCUAUUAUCUGAGGGAGACACUGAGAAGACACUAAUGCAAUUCUGGGAGGAUUACAGCAUCUAAGACUGCAUCAAGAACCUUGCUUAGGCUUAGGGUGAUGUCACCAAUGAGUGUAUGAAUGGCAUCUGGAAGGAGACACUCGAGGUUUGUUCAUGACUUCAGAGGAUUUGCCAUGGAUGACCAGGUUGCAAAAAUCCACAAGGCUGUGGUUGAGAUGGCAAACAGCUUUAACCUGGGUGUGAAUGAGGAUGACAUUGAGGAGCUCCUAGCGGUGGUUCCUGAGGAAUUGACUAAUGAGUUGUUGGAAAUAGAACAGGGACACAGCUGAAGAAGAGGCAAGAGAAAACAAAACUGCAGAAAACCACCAUCAAGAAAAUUUGCAGUAGGGAGUUUAGCAGAAGCUUUUGCAGACCUCAAGAAACUCCUUAAAAAGUUUGGGCCGGGCGCGGUGGCUCACUCCUGUAAUCCCAGCACUUUGGGAGGCCAUGGUGGGAAGAUCACGAGAUCAGGAGUUCAAGACCAGCCAGACCGACAUGGUGAAACUCCAUCUCUACUAAAAAUACAAAAAAAAAAAAAAAAAAGCCUGGGUGUGGUGGCACGCACCUGUAAUCCCAGCUACUAGGGAGGCUGAGGCAGGAGAAUCACUUGAACCUGGGAGGCAGAGGUUGCAGUGAGCCGAGAUCGUGCCACUGCACUCCAGCCUGGGUGACAGAGCAAGACUCAUCUCAAAAAAAAAAAAAAAAAAAAAAUUGAAAACAUGGACCCCAACACCAAAAGGUUUUCAUUAAUAGAGAGGAAUGUUCAUGGUGCAUUAUUUGUUUACUGGCAAAUCUAUGAUGAAAAAAGGAAAUACCAAGCAAACCACCAUGGACAUAUUUCUGAAAAGAGGGACACCUCCUUAAGAAGAGUCCCAGGCAGGUCCUUCAUGGGUAUUUCAGAAGAGGGCAUUGCUAUCAUAGGAGAUGACAGCUCUGUGCAUGUUACUGCCCGGGAAGACCUUCCAGUGGGACAAGAUGUGAAGGUGGAAGAUGAUGAUAUUGAUGAUUCUGACCUGUGUAUGCCUAGGCUAAUGUACUUGUGUCUUAGUUUUUAACAAAAAGUUGAAGUAAAUAAUUUAAAAGAAAAAUGCUUAUAAAAAUAAAAUAUUUUUGUAUAGCAUUACAGUGUGUGUUUUAAUCUAAGUGUUAUUACAAAAGUCAGAAAAUUUUAAAAGUUUAGUAAAAAGUUAACAUUAGGUUAACUUAUUGAAGAAAGAAAUUUUUAAGUAAAUUUAGUUUACUCUAAGUGUACAGUAUUU
rnacentral:lncRNA from 1 species